rnacentral:tRNA from 1 species
GAGUCUUUAUUAUAAAAAAGUAUGUAGCUUUUUCGAAGUUGUGGUUUUGGACUUA